rnacentral:lncRNA from 1 species
GAGGAUUCUGGGAAAUGUAGUAAAAAGAAGUCUUGUGAUACAGACAGGAAGUGACAUAGCAGGCAGACUCAUAUAUAAGCAGGACAAACAGGAAGUCAUCCUCUUGCUCUUCCUCCUGCUCUCCUCUCUAUGGAGCCACCAUGUGAUCCCAGGAAGAGGACAUCAGCAGAAAGCAUCCUCAGGGAAAGCCAAACUACAGAGGGCCUAACUCACGCAUGAAAGGAAGAACUGAAGUAGGAUGGAAGCAUGUGGCAGGUUUCUCCAUCACAGUUUCUGUCUUGAUUUUGUAAGAAGAACAAUUCCAGAGUUUAAAAGAGCUCACAUCUUACAGGAUCAACCAAGGGUGAUGGUAGAACAUGAAGACUUCUUAUCUAUUUGGUUAGGCUCUUCAAAGCAGCAAGGAAAGAGUGCAUGCACCUGGAUCCUCCUCGCCAAUAAGGAAACCCAGAGUGCCAUCUCUUUAAGUGAGACACGUAUCAGAACAUGGCAUCGACCCCAGAAAUUGCACAGAGCCAGAGUGUCCCCAGCAUCAACACCUUUCAGGAGAGAAACUGAAUUCAUUUGCCAACAACCAACUCCAUCGGACAGUGCCAGAAAGUACGGGACUGCUUGCGUUCAUUUCUUCGAGAUGAGUCAGGGUUGCAGGGUGUCGAUGAUUAGAUGUAAAUGUUAAACCAAAAGCCCAUGGUGGUCACUUUGGCUUUCCUUCUGUGGAAAUCCAGCUUCUCACUUGGGGGGAAGGGGUUGUGUUACAUGUGAUAUUGGCAUGUUGCUCUGGUUUCCUGAAGCCCCCAUUUUUUGGGUCUCUCUGUGCCCUUCCCAUAUACACAAACACAUUUUCAGGUAAAACAUCUGGAAGGUCCUAUUUCAAAAGAGCAUGGCCAAGAAAAUCUUUCCAUUUGUAAAAAUAAUGUAAACCCUUUAGACUGUAAUGUCCUGCAGAGCAGGGGAAUUAUACAACAGCAAUAAAAUUGUCAGCUUUCAAUAAUCAGCCACAUUUUUUAUGGUAUUUUGUCACUGGGAAAGCACUUUUUAAUAAUCA